UACGGAGGGUGCAAGCGUUAUCCGGAUUUACUGGGUUUAAAGGGUGCGUAGGCGGGCCUUUAAGUCAGUGGUGAAAGCUCCGAGCUUAACUCGGAAACUGCCAUUGAUGCUAUUGGUCUUGAAUUCGGUCGAGGUUGGCGGAAUGUGUCGUGUAGCGGUGAAAUGCUUAGAUAUGACACAGAACACCGAUUGCGAAGGCAGCUAGCUAGACCGACAUUGACGCUGAGGCACGAAAGCGUGGGGAUCAAACAGG
rnacentral:rRNA from 1 species